rnacentral:tRNA from 1 species
GGUCCUGUGGUGUAGUGGUUAUCACGUCUGCUUCACACGCAGAAGGNCCGGUUCGAUCCCGGCCAGGACCU